UUGUGCCCUUGAGGCGUGGCUUCCGGAGCUAACGCGUUAAGUCGACCGCCUGGGGAGUACGGCCGCAAGGUUAAAACUCAAAUGAAUUGACGGGGGCCCGCACAAGCGGUGGAGCAUGUGGUUUAAUUCGAUGCAACGCGAAGAACCUUACCUACUCUUGACAUCCAGAGAACUUUGCAGAGAUGCCAACGUGCCUUCGGGAACUCUGAGACAGGUGCUGCAUGGCUGUCGUCAGCUCGUGUUGUGAAAUGUUGGGUUAAGUCCCGCAACGAGCGCAACCCUUAUCCUUUGUUGCCAGCGGUCCGGCCGGGAACUCAAAGGAGACUGCCAGUGAUAAACUGGAGGAAGGUGGGGAUGACGUCAAGUCAUCAUGGCCCUUACGAGUAGGGCUACACACGUGCUACAAUGGCAUAUACAAAGAGAAGCGACCUCGCGAGAGCAAGCGGACCUCAUAAAGUAUGUCGUAGUCCGGAUUGGAGUCUGCAACUCGACUCCAUGAAGUCGGAAUCGCUAGUAAUCGUGGAUCAGAAUGCCACGGUGAAUACGUUCCCGGGCCUUGUACACACCGCCCGUCACACCAUGGGGAGUGGGUUGCAAAAGAAGUAGGUAGCUUAACCUUCGGGAGGGCGCUUACCACUUUGUGAUUCAUGACUGGGGUGAAUCU
rnacentral:rRNA from 1 species